UUUUAUGUUUUUAUAUAUACAAUCGAAUUUGAGAGAGGUGAAUAAUACUUUUCAGCUCAGUAAAUUCUCUUAAAUGAGCAAAAUCAAGCAAUAAUCGAAUGUUCUCUCGUUUAAAGCCAUUACUUUACAACUAGCUGGGUUAUAAUAGGUCUGAUGUUGGAUAAAGUUAUUAUAUAUUUUGUGAUGUUCACAGAACAGAAUACACAGACAUAAAGAAGAAUAUAUUUUAUCACGCAAAGCAGAUAUCACAGCACACACACGCCGUAUGUAUAUUUAGAAAUCACAAAUAUUGAUAAAAGUAUUAAAAAUAAGUGUACACACACAUACGCGAAAAUAUGUACACAGACCGGCGGAUGAAUACAGGUAGCUCGCUAUAGCUCCAGCAUGAUCUCUCAAGUCCUUCCUAUUUCACCUUAAACCCUCGCCUACCGACUUUGCCUUUGCGAGUAAGCGGCACUAUUCCUUGGACGUGAUUGGUUGGAGCCGAUUCAAGCCCGCCUCCUAUUGGCCCGCCGUGUGUCAAUCAUUCAGCAACGCCAAUCAUGGCAACCGUUUACAGGUUUUAGGGAAGCUCCUCGUCACCUUACAGAUGUGGAUACAGUAGCUACUCCGGGGUCAUCGGUGGACUAGUCACUUCUGUGAGACAGUCGUAGCCGCAGGACAGGACGCAGCACACCACAUCACGGUCUCUGUCCAUAAGGAUAUUGUUGAUUCAUUCAUUGGCUGCUGAUUCUCUCCCACUGCUUGUGUUUGGGAUACAUGGAGCUGUGACCAUCACAGACAUUCAAGAAGAAAGGGUAAGAAAUGAGGACCGUUUACAGGAACAUGGCAGACUUGUUUAGUGUUGACAGCUAAAGGUACU
rnacentral:lncRNA from 1 species